UACGUAGGUGGCGAGCGUUGUCCGGAAUUACUGGGUGUAAAGGGCGUGUAGGCGGGGAUAUAAGUCAGAUGUGAAAUUCCAAGGCUCAACCUUGGCGCUGCAUCUGAAACUAUAACUCUUGAGUGCUGGAGAGGAAAGCGGAAUUCCUAGUGUAGCGGUGAAAUGCGUAGAUAUUAGGAGGAACACCAGUGGCGAAGGCGGCUUUCUGGACAGUAACUGACGCUGAGGCGCGAAAGCGUGGGGAGCGAACAGG
rnacentral:misc_RNA from 1 species